AGCUGGGUUCAGAACGUCGUGAGACAGUUCGGUCCCUAUCCGUCGCGGGCGCAGGAAAUUUGAGAGGAGCUGUCCUUAGUACGAGAGGACCGGGAUGGACGCACCGCUGGUGUACCAGUUGUCCCGCCAGGGGCACCGCUGGGUAGCUAUGUGCGGACGGGAUAAGCGCUGAAAGCAUCUAAGCGUGAAGCCCCCCUCAAGAUGAGAUUUCCCAUCGCGUUAGGCGAGUAAGAUCCCUCGAAGAUGACGAGGUCGAUAGGUCCGAGGUGGAAGCGUGGCGACACGUGGAGCUGACGGAUACUAAUCGAUCGAGGGCUUAACCUAG
rnacentral:rRNA from 1 species